AAUCGCUUGAACCCGGAAGGCGGAGAUUGCAGUGAGCCGAGAUCGCACCACUGCACUCCAGCCUGGGUGACAGAGCGCGACUCUGACUCAAAAAAAAAAAAAAAAAAAAAAAAAAACAACUCACAUUCCUCUCUGAACGCUUGGAAGAGCAACUUGGAUGAAAUUAUUACACCCAAGCAAAGAUCUUGGGUGUAAUCACAGAGCUCACAUGGAGGACCAUGUGAGAGGCUUUUACAAACCUCAGAGCCCUAGGAAAGCUCUCUGGACCAUUUAUCAAGAGGAAUCAGGCUUUUGGCAUUUUUGAAGAAAAAGUAAUAAAUGACAUGCUAAGUUUAUGAGAAGAUAUUUUUUCCCUGAAUUUAUUCUCUUUCCCAUCGGAAUUAAAUUCUAAUAUUCAUACAGAAGCAACACAUUUGUUCCUAAGUCAAAUAAAGAACCCUAUCUAAAGGCAUAAAAAACCGUUGAAUUAUAGCAGAGGCAUACAAAAUAAAAAUUUUAUAGUUCCCCCAACCUCACUGGAGGACCUCUGCCAUAGCUAAGAAAAAUAGCCAACACUUUCAGAGCACUUAGCUAGGCUGGGCGCUGGUCUGUACAGGAAUUUUGACUUUUUUUUGAGACGGAGUCUCGCUCUGUCGCCCAGGCUGGAGUACAAUGGCGUGAUCUCGGCUCGCUGCAACCUCCACCUCCCAGGUCCAAGCAAUUCUCCUGCCUCAGCCUCCAAAGUAGCUGAGAUUACAGGUGCCUGCCACCAGGCCUGGCUAAUUUUUUGUAUUUUUAGUAGAGACGGGAUUUCACCAUGUUGGCCAGACUGGUCUCGAACUCCUGACCUCAGGUGAUCUGCCCACCUUGGCCUUCCAAAGUGCUGGGAUUACAGGCGUAAGCCACCACUCCCAGACACAAUCUUGUAUGGAUGGCUAUCAUCCAAAAUAAUUGCAAGCUUCCUGUGGGGGCUGGGAUUGCUUCAUAGUCCUCCAUACACCCCCUCAGGGUCCCCACAAUGCCUUGAACACCAUAAUGCUCUGGUAAAUGUUUUGGUCUGGAAAUUCGAUGUCAUUCUAAGUCCAUAGUCCUUGUCUAGUUAGACACUGGUGCUUCUAUCCUAACGAAGGUGAGUCUUCCUCUCUGCAGAUGGUACAGUCAAGAUGACCUAGCUGUAACCUGGCUACUAGAGGACCAAGGAGAAAAAUAAACUUCUACCACGCUUUCGAAAACAAGCACUCAAACUCAGGAGAUACUUGAUUGAAGUUGAAAGAGUGGUGCAUUCCCCAAGGCAGUACCCUCAUGAAUGGGAUUAGUGUCCUUUAAUAAAAGAGACCCAAGAGAGGUCCCUUGCUCCUUCCAGCAUGUGAGAUUACAGCAAAAAGAUGCUGUCUAUGAACCAGAAAGUGGGCCCUCACCAGACACUGAAUCUGUCGGCACCUUGAUCUUGGAUUUCCCAGCUUCCAGAAGUGGGAGAAAUAAAUUUCUCUUGUAAAUAAGAUAAACAGUUUAUGAUAUUUUAUUAUAGCAGCCCCAAGGGACUAAGACAGAAAUCCAGUUGUACACCAGAUGGUUGUAACACGUUCAGUGGAAUGAAAACCUUGUGUCUUGGCAGGGUGCAGUGGCUCAUGCCUGUAAUCCCAACGCUUUGGGAGGCUGAGGCGGGUGGAUCACAAGGUCAGGAGUUAGAGACCAGCC
rnacentral:lncRNA from 1 species